rnacentral:rRNA from 1 species
UGGGGAAUAUUGGACAAUGGGCGAAAGCCUGAUCCAGCCAUGCCGCGUGUGUGAAGAAGGUCUUCGGAUUGUAAAGCACUUUAAGUUGGGAGGAAGGGCAUUAACCUAAUACGUUAGUGUUUUGACGUUACCGACAGAAUAAGCACCGGCUAACUCUGUGCCAGCAGCCGCGGUAAUACAGAGGGUGCAAGCGUUAAUCGGAAUUACUGGGCGUAAAGCGCGCGUAAGUGGUUUGUUAAGUUGGAUGUGAAAGCCCCGGGCUCAACCUGGGAACUGCAUUCAAAACUGACUGACUAGAGUAUGGUAGAGGGUGGUGGAAUUUCCUGUGUAGCGGUGAAAUGCGUAGAUAUAGGAAGGAACACCAGUGGCGAAGGCGACCACCUGGACUAAUACUGACACUGAGGUGCGAAAGCGUGGGGAGCAAACA